GAUGAACGCUGGCGGCGUGCCUAAUACAUGCAAGUCGAGCGAACGGACGAGAAGCUUGCUUUUCUGAUGUUAGCGGCGGACGGGUGAGUAACACGUGGAUAACCUACCUAUAAGACUGGGAUAACUUCGGGAAACCGGAGCUAAUACCGGAUAAUAUUUUGAACCGCAUGGUUCAAAAGUGAAAGACGGUCUUGCUGUCACUUAUAGAUGGAUCCGCGCUGCAUUAGCUAGUUGGUAAGGUAACGGCUUACCAAGGCAACGAUGCAUAGCCGACCUGAGAGGGUGAUCGGCCACACUGGAACUGAGACACGGUCCAGACUCCUACGGGAGGCAGCAGUAGGGAAUCUUCCGCAAUGGGCGAAAGCCUGACGGAGCAACGCCGCGUGAGUGAUGAAGGUCUUCGGAUCGUAUAACUCUGUUAUUAGGGAAGAACAUAUGUGUAAGUAACUGUGCACAUCUUGACGGUACCUAAUCAGAAAGCCACGGCUAACUACGUG
rnacentral:rRNA from 1 species